rnacentral:lncRNA from 1 species
CCUAACAGAAAAGACUGAUAAUUGAAUUUAAGAUAUUCUUUUCAUCAAAAAGACCACAAAGAUAGAAAAAAUACAAGCUACAAAUGUGAAAAGAUACAUAUCUACACAAAAGAAUUAUGGUUAAUAAGAAAAAAAGGAAACAAUACAAUGGAAAAAUAGACACAAGUGACAGAAAGUCAUUUCACAAAAAGGAAGCUUGAGCUGUCAAUAAACGUUUAAAUAAUCUCAAAGUUUAAAAAAUGGGCAAAAGAUAUGAAUAUAUGAUUCUCCAAAGAAAGAUAAUAAAUAGGCAACAAGCACAUGAAAAGAUGUUCAGCAUCAUUAGCCAUCAGGGAAAUGAAAAAGCCAUAAUAAAACACCAGUUCACAUCCACUAGGAUGGCUAUUAUCAGAAAACAAAGAAUAACAAGUGAGACAAGGAUAUGGAGAAAUUUAAGCCUUUCUCUCCUACUGAUGGGAAGGUUAAAGUGGUGCAGUGGUCUGGAAAACAGUUCAUUAAACAUAGAGUUUCUCAACUGUUAAACAUAGAGUUACCAUAUGAUGCAGCACUUUUACUCCUCGAAGAAAUGAAAAUGUAUGUCCACACAAAAGCUUGUAUGUAAAGGGAUACCUGGGUGGCUCAGGGGUUGAGCGUCUGCAUUCAGUUCAGGGUGUGAUCCUCAUCUGGGGAUUGAGUCCCACAUCGGGCUCCCUGCAAGGAGACUGAUUCUCUCUCUGUCUAUGUCUCUGUUUGUGUCUCUCAUGAAUAAAUAAAUAAAAUCAUAAAAAAACUUGUAUGUGAACCUUCAUAAUGGUAUUAUUCUCAAUAGCCAAAAAGUGGAAACAGUCCAAAUGUUCAUCAACUGAUAGAUGAACAAUUAAGUAUACACUAUAAAACAGAAUAUUAUUAAUAUUAUCAAUGCAUGUUACAACACGGAUGAGUGUUGAAAACAUGCUAAGUGGAAGAAGCCAGUCCUAAAAGACCACAUAUCUUUCCAUUUAUAUAAAAUAUCCAGAAUAGGUACAUCUAUAAAAAUAGAAAAUAGGUUAGGGCUGAGGGAAGUGGGGAGGAGGAGUGGAAGAGUUGGAAGGUUAUGGCUAAGGACUACCAGGCUUCUUUUAGGGGUGGUAAAAAUAUUCUAAAGUAAUGGUGAUGAUAACUCUGUGAAUGUGCCAAAAAGCCACUGCAUUGUAUAAUUUAAGUGGAUGAAUUAUAUGUUAUGUGAAUUAUAGCUGAAUAAACUUGUUACUUCAAAAAAUGCAAUUGCAAUAAUUUGCAAUUUAAAAAAGAUCAGAGGUGAGGAAAAGCAUUACAAUUUGUGUUGCAAAAUAUGGUUAACAACAAAACUGUAAAUGGAAAGAAAUUCCCUUCAUGUUUCUUCCACCAUCUAGUUGUAGGAUCUUAGAACACUAGUCACUUAACCUUGUGAUCUCAAGAAUCAUCUCCUAUAGAUUAAAGAUUGUAUGAAUAUUAAUAACUCGUGGUUCUAAAGAAUGGUUCUCAACUUUUAGGAUCACAGAUCUCUUUGAGAAGUUGAUAAACGACAGGGGCUUUCUGGUAUAAAUCAGGAACAAAGCACUGUUAAUUAUUAAUAUUUAAUAUUGUUCUGAAAAUUUGGGGCAAAGGAAAUACAAAUAAGUAGUAUAAAUAUUGGAAAGGAAAAAAACAGGUUGUUAUAUAUUCAGAAAACCCAGACAAAUUCACUGGGGAAAAAAACAUGAGAAUUAAUAGAAGUAUUUAACUUCUAAAUUCAUAAAAUCGAUAGCAAUGAAUAAGAAUAACCUAAUUAGAAGAUUUAAAAAAAAGAUAUCACAUUCAAAUCCAUACUCCUGAAUUACAAGGUUAUCUCAAUCAAUGAAAAUUUGUUAUUUUUCAAAUAUUUGGAAUUUUUCAGAUCUGUUUCUAUUCUUGAUUCAUAAUUUAAUGUCUUUGUAUGGUUGAAUAAUUUUAAAUUACUGAGAGCUGGUUUAAGGCUCAGCAUAUGGUCUGUCUUGGUAAAUAUUCUGUGCACACUUGAAAAAAUUAUGUAUUCUAUUCUUGUUAGGAGGAUGUUCUCUAAAUGUUAAUUAGGUAACAUUGGUCAUGUUCUUCAAGUCUUCUAUAUCUUUGCCUUGUCUUCCUAUAUCUAUCUGUUAUAUUUAUCUGUUAUGUUUAUUCUUAGGGCUGCUGUAACAAAAAUUAUCACAAACUGAGUGACUUAAAACAACAAAAAAAAUUAUUUUCUCAUAGCUUUGGAGUCUAGAAGUCCAAAAUCAAGGUUUGAACUUAUUGGAAUAUAAGUUAUUGGAAUAUGUAUGACAUACAUAUAAUUUUUAAAACAUGGAAGUAUUUUGUGAAGAAAACUAUAAAACUUUAUUGAAAAACUAAUUGUUUUGAAAAACUAAAUAAUUUGAAAGAAUACUUAAGUAAAUAGAUAGACUUUUUUUAUGGACUCAACACUGUGAAGAUGACAGUUCUUCCCAAAUCUGUAAAUUAAUUCUAAAUUUAAGAAUAUAAGGAAUCGCAAAAGAAGAAAUCGGUAAAUUUUACUACUUCACAAUUUAAAACUACUAUUUAACAAAAAAAUGUAAUAAUCAGAAAAUAACAAUCAGGAAGAAAGAUUUAUCAUAAAUAUAACAAAAAGUAAAUAUGGGGCGCCUGGGUGGCUCACUGGGUUAAGCGUCUGCCUUCAGCUCAGGUCAUGAUCCCAGAGUCCUGGGAUAGAGCCCUGCAUCAGGCUUCCUGUUCACUGGGGAAUAUGCCUCUCCCUCUCCAUCUGCCUCUCCCCCAGUUCAUGCUCUCUCGCGCGCGCUCUCUCUCUCUCUCAAAUAAAUAAAUAAAAAUCUUUAAGAUAAAAAGCAAAUAUAUUUGGGACAUCUGGGUGGCUCAGUGGUUGAGCGUCUGCCUUCGGCUCUGGGCAUGAUCCUGGAGUUCUGGGAUGGAGUCCCACAUCGGGCUCCUGCAUGGAGCCUGCUUCUCCCUCCGCCUGUGUCUCUGCCUCUCCUUUCUGUGUCUCUCAUGAAUGAAUGAAUGAAUAAAUAAAUUAAAUAAAUAAAUAAAGCGAGCAAGCAAGCAAGCAUAUAUGUUUUGGGCACCUGGGUAGUGCAGUCAGUUGAGCAUUGGACUUUUGGCUCAGGUCAUUCAUUAUUACAUGGAUUGUGGGAUUAAGCCCCAAGUCAGGCUCCAUGCUGAGUGUGGAGUCCACUUGGUUUUCUCACUCCCUCUCCCUCUGCCCCUCCCAAUCCCUCUCUAAAGUAAAUAUAUAAAUCUUUUUUAAAAAGCAAAAAUGUUUUUCAUAUACAAUUUCUAUAAAACUUUUCUAUGAGAAAUAUACUUGCUUUUUGUUGUAGUUAUAAGUCUUUCCUCCUAUCUUUUCUUACACAUCUCUCAAAUCAGUCCCACUUCUUUCCAUUCUCAGUUACUGCCUCACUUUCCUGUUUCAUUAUACCUCACCUCAGUUUUUCAAUAGCCCAUUAAUUGCUCUUUCAGCCUCUAGUCCUGCCUAGCUUCAAUUCCACUUUCUCUAGAGUGAACUCUCUAAAGUGCAUAUAUAAACAUUUUUCACUUCCAUAAAAAUUUUCAGUGACUCCUCAUAGUCCAAAUCCUUGGCACGACAUACUGGGAUAUAUUUUGACCUCACCUUUGUCCUCCAGCCAGUCUCUUUCCCUUCAAACACAUUCUGCUCAAAUUACACCUUCUUGUGAGAUAGAAUUCUAACUUUCAAGUCUAGCAAAAUAAGUACUUCUACAUGUCUCAUAGCAUACUUUAAUAUAGUCUCUAUCUCAUUGUAAUAUAAUCAUUUGUUUUCUUAUUUGUUUCCCCAUCUAAAUUUUUAGUUUUGUGAGAGCAAGUACACAAGUAGGCACUCAUUUCAUCACCCAUGUAAAAUAAAUGAAAGAAGGAUAAAUCAUGGAAGUUUUAUUUGGCAGCUCUGUACAUUAAUGUCUCACUUCUAAAAAAGCAAUUUAGUGGCAUUUAUCAAGAGGUAUGGAAGUGUUCCUAGCCCUGCACAAAUUUGUUUGGAAGAAGGUUAACAAUUCUUCUUUUUUCUUUUUCUGUUUUUUUAAGACUUUAUUCAUGAGAGAUACAGAGAGAGGCAGAGACAUAGGCAGAGGGAGAAGCAGCCUCCCCACAGAAAGCCUGAAGCAGGACUUGAUCCCAGGACUCCAGGAUCAUGACCUGAGAUGAAGGCAGACACUCAACCGCUGAGCCACCCAGGUGCCCCGACCAACAAUCCUAUGAUCAUAUCGUGACUAUUAGAAGUUUGAACCAUAUGGGCUGCUCUCCAUGGUUCUGAACUAUAGUUGACCAUCAAGACACAAAUAUAGUUCACUAAUAUCUCCUGUGUAAUCUUUCCCCAGAGAUAUGAAACAGAUUAGGGAAGAGGAGGUAAGAAGAAAGAAAGGUAAAAGACAGAUGAAGAGAGAUUAUUACAAAGGUAUAAUCACUUAGAGAUUCAGGUAGAAAAAGGAAACUUAUUUUGAGAUUAUUUUCAAAUAGUUUCAGCAGUAAAGGAAUCACUGCAAAGGUAUCAAUAGAGUGAGAAGGCAACAUAAUGAGAUGGGAGAACAUAUUUGCAAACCAUAUAUCUAAUAUAUCCUACAAAUCAAUAGCAAAGAAACUAAUAACUAAUAAAGUAGCCUAAGGACUUGAAUAGACAUUUCUCAAAAAAUAUAUAUAAAUGAUCAACAGGCAUAUGAAAAUGUGCUGAAUGUUACAAAUCAUCAAAGAAACGAAAAUCAAAACCAAAAUGAGAUAAUACCUCAUACCUGUCAGGAUGGCUGUUAUCAGAAAAACAAAAGACAAGUGUUGGCAAGGAUAUGAAGAAUUUAGAACUCUGUACAUUGUUGGCAAGAAUGCAAAAUGUUGCAGCUGUUACAGAAGACAGUAUGGAAGUUCCUCAAAAAAA